GAUGAACGCUGGCGGCGUGCCUAAUACAUGCAAGUCGAGCGAACGGACGAGAAGCUUGCUUCUAUGAUGUUAGCGGCGGACGGGUGAGUAACACGUGGAUAACCUACCUAUAAGACUGGGAUAACUUCGGGAAACCGGAGCUAAUACCGGAUAAUAUUUUGAACCGCAUGGUUCAAAAGUGAAAGACGGUCUUGCUGUAACUUAUAGAUGGAUCCGCGCUGCAUUAGCUAGUUGGUAAGGUAACGGCUUACCAAGGCAACGAUGCAUAGCCGACCUGAGAGGGUGAUCGGCCACACUGGAACUGGGACACGGUCCAGACUCCUACGGGAGGCAGCAGUAGGGAAUCUUCCGCAAUGGGCGAAAGCCUGACGGAGCAACGCCGCGUGAGUGAUGAAGGUCUUCGGAUCGUAAAACUCUGUUAUUAGGGAAGAACAUAUGUGUAAGUAACUGUGCACAUCUUGACGGUACCUAAUCAGAAAGCCACGGCUAACUACGUG
rnacentral:rRNA from 1 species